AGUCUGAUCCAUUUAUCUUGAAAUACAAAACAAUGUUAGAAAAAGCAGCAGGCAGAAAAAUAGUUUUCUCGAGGCGAAAUACGGUAUUCAACAUGGUGCGGACCGAUAAAGAUAGCAGAGAAGUGUUAGACAUGCCAGGGAUGUACGAAGUUGGAAUUGAUAGCAUGGACACCAACAGGGAAGAAGUGUGCAUGGGCUCAGCAGCGAGAUCGGUGGGAGGGGGAGUACAGGAGCAUCGGGCGGACGGACAGCAGCAGAGAGGUGCGACGGCCCUGGCGCGGGGACUUGAUGCGUGUGGGGCGGUGCCGAA
rnacentral:lncRNA from 1 species